ACCAGGGCUCGAACCUGUGUCCCCUGCAUUGGCAGGCGGAUUCUUAACCACUGUGCCACCAGGGAAAUCCCAAUAUCUGCAUCUUGAACGAUGAGCUCCUCAGAUUCCUUCCUUCCUUCUCCCCUCCCUUUCCCAGAAUUUUGGCAGCCAGGCCAAAGAUUUGGAAUGUCCUCUCUGGAAAACCUGUCCCAAAAGAAAAGACUCACAAAUACUGGAGAUUCACCAACUACAAGUUAGUCUCAUUGCAGAUUACUCUAUGUUGAAGGUCUCCAGUCAUCAAGAUAGAUGAAUAUACAUAAAGUUUCCAAUCUACCUAGAAUAUAUAUAUGAGAUCAUUUAAACACAGAAACGUAUAGACAAAUUAAUAAAAAUCCACGUUCCUGACCCUCAGACUUAACAGAUAUUUGCAUUCAAUCAGAUAUUCAGUUCUUCACAUUAACAUAAAUGAGAGAAUAAAACAACAAACAACAGAAAAAGGAAACAAAGGGGGAAAAAAUGCAGAAAAUCAAACUCACUUUCAUUAAUAUUCUUGGAUAUGAGAUGAUAUUGUACCCAAAAAGCAAGAUAAGGAUGUCAUAAAAAAAAGAAAUAAAGAAUGAGAUAGGAUUCUCUAAAAUAAAAACUGUCAACUGAAAUAAAAGUUUCAAGAGAAUUAGAAGAUAAAAGUCAAGGAAAUCUUCCUGAAAGUAAAACACACACAAAAAAGAGUGAGAAAUGGAAAAUGGGAGGAAAUGAUAAGAAAUUUAGAAGGCCAAUCUAAAAGCCAAAAUUUGAUUAGUUGGAGGUCUAGAGAAAGAAAAUAGAGAGGAAAGCUGAAGGAAGGUGGUUAUCGAAGAGAGAAUAUAAGAAAACUUACUAGAAUUGAGAGAUUUUAGUCUCCAGAUUGAAAAGACCUAGCACGAAAAACAAAAAACUACCUGCACCCAGGAAUGUCAUCAUGACAUUUCAGAAUUCCAAAGAUAAAUGAUUUAAAAAAAAAAAAAAAAACAGAGAAAAAGCAGGUCACAUACAAAAGAAUCAAGGACCUGAAUGAUUUAAAUGUUCCUAAGGUAAUACCGAGACCUCGAAAACAAUUCUGAGUGAAAAGGAUAUUUUAUGUAGAAUUCUAUACUCAUUCAAAUUACCUGUUAAAUGUGAAAUGAUGUAUUCAAAUAUGCAAAGAGGUAAAUGUUUCAUUCCCUUACUCGCCUUCUCAGGAAUCUAUUGGAGGAUAUAUUCUAGCAAAAUGAAAAAGUACACCAGGAAAGAGGGAGACCUGAGAUCCUGCAGGGCGGUGCCGCUGGCCUAGGAAGCAACCGAUCUCGAGUGGACUGAGGACGUGGUCUCCAGAAACGCAAGUGGGAGAAAUAAUAUUGAUAGGUGAUGGAUGUUACAGAGCUGAUGGAGCAUGUGAAAAGAAUGAGGAAAGGGACCAGGCUGUCUGAGAGCAGGGAUAAAAUCUGCCCGGUUUGCCACUGGAUCUCCAGUGCCUAAGUGUUCCUGGCACAUAGAAGUUGCCCAGUAAAUCAUGUUAAAGGAGUGAGUGAAUGAACGCAUAAACGAGAGUUGAUGAAGCUUCACGUAUGUGCUUUGAGCCAGGCAAUACAGCAGACACCUAGAAAUACAGGAUAAAUGUAAUUUUAAAUGCAUAGCAAAAUUCUCAAGAAAGCAAGGACAACUGAGGGACAAACAGGUUACUUAGAAAUCAUAUUGCAGGGCUUUAAUUUGCAGAUGUCCAGAGAUGCCACUGCUCCUUCUCCUCCCUGCUCAGUGAAAUCAGGGCUGCAUUCCCAUCACCCCAUCAGGAAAGCUCUUGCCGAGGUCAGAGCGAUGCUGAAUCUGAGAUGUUGACUCAUUAAUUUCACUCCUUCCUGAAACACCUCCUUCACUUGGAUCCCAGGACACUGCUCUCUGCCUCCCUCACUUGCUCUCCUCAGUCUCAGAGCCAGUGUCCUCUUCAUCUUCCUUUUUUUUUUUAAUGGAUUAUAGUUUAUUUACAAUGCUGUGUUAGUUUCAAGUGUACAGCAAAGUGAAUCAGUUAUACAUAUAUCCACUCUUUUUUAGAUUCUUUUCCCGUAUAGGUCAUUACAGAGUAUUGAGUAGAGUUCCCUGUGCUAAUCUGAUUUCAGCUAAUCCUGAGUUAGGACACGUACUCCAUGAGGUAUGUGUUGUUGUCUGCAUUUGGCAAGUGGAUAAAUACAAGCUCAGCAAAUUAUGUAACUUGUCAGAAUCACACCAGCAGAAAGGAAAACUCAGGCCCAUUCCCAGAUUGGAAUAUCAGUGGAAUUAUUGGACAGUCUGUCUCAGCAACAAAAGCAAAGCUGUAGGAGCCUCAGCUAAUUCGUUGACUUGAUUCACAGAAAAGACAUUGGACAAUUUCUACAGUUUUGCUUGGUUAUUUGCUGUCGUUUGGGCCCAGAUGAUACCAAGGCCAUCUGAAAUGUUUAUUCAGGCGAGUGUGGUUCUGAAUGGUGUGAAAAACAAGUAGCACAAAAAUCUCUUUUUUAGAAAACAAUUUGAAUAAAGUCAUUUUUAAAGGAUUCUGAAGCUUAAGUCAUGAACAUAAACACCACCAUUUAAAAGCAAGAGAUGAAAAGGCUAAUGAAGCUUCAGUUUAAAGACAUCUUAGUGAUGGUGAAGCUUAAUUAGAAGAAAUUUUACAAAAUGAAAAAUAUGGAAUAAUGAAAAUAAUGAAACAUGUUGAUUAUUUGUUACUUCUUUCCUAAUAUUAUUUAAAAUACUAUUUAGAGUCAAAAUGUUUUAUUUGUUUAAAACAUGUAUUAUUUACUUGAAAAAAAAGUGUAUCAACUAACAAAAUACCCAACUUAUAAGACGUGUAGUUUGAUUUACUGUGUUCACUAUUGACCAAAACUUAAAAUUCUAACUUCCCGAAAUAAAUAUUUCAUGAGUUA